AUAUCAAUAAGCGGAGGAAAAGAAACCAACCGGGAUUGCCUCAGUAACGGCGAGUGAAGCGGCAAGAGCUCAAAUUUGAAAGCUGGCUCCUUCGGAGUCCGCAUUGUAAUUUGCAGAGGAUGCUUUGGGUGCGGCCCCCGUCUAAGUGCCCUGGAACGGGCCGUCAGAGAGGGUGAGAAUCCCGUCUUGGGCGGGGUGUCCGUGCCCGUGUAAAGCUCCUUCGACGAGUCGAGUUGUUUGGGAAUGCAGCUCUAAAUGGGUGGUAAAUUUCAUCUAAAGCUAAAUACUGGCCGGAGACCGAUAGCGCACAAGUAGAGUGAUCGAAAGAUGAAAAGCACUUUGAAAAGAGAGUUAAACAGCACGUGAAAUUGUUGAAAGGGAAGCGCUUGCGACCAGACUCGCCCGCGGGGUUCAGCCGGCAUUCGUGCCGGUGUACUUCCCCGUGGGCGGGCCAGCGUCGGUUUGGGCGGCCGGUCAAAGGCCCCUGGAAUGUAGUGCCCUCCGGGGCACCUUAUAGCCAGGGGUGCAAUGCGGCCAGCCUGGACCGAGGAACGCGCUUCGGCACGGACGCUGGCAUAAUGGUCGUAAACGAC
rnacentral:rRNA from 2 species